rnacentral:lncRNA from 1 species
UGGGCUAUCAAGAAAAAAUAGUUUUUCUGGAUCACAAAAUCCUUGAGUUAAGUGAACUAUUUCAUCAUUGAAAAGGUUCGAGUUUAAACUCUCUCUUUGUCACCAAUUUCACUCAUUCCCAACUUCUUCUCUUUUCAUUGAUUUUACAUUGAGCUCAUCUGUCACGCUUUUUCUUUUUACCUUUUCUUUCUUUACUCAUGCAUUUCUCUUUUCAACACUUGAGCUCAAUGCUUUUCUUUUGCCUUUCUUUCCCAUACAACCCCAAACUUGAACAUUUUCAUUACAUAAAAUUAUUCU